GACGCAUUUAACCCCAAACGUCAUCAUUUGUGGCGACUUUCGCCUCAUUUCUAAAUGAUGAACCUCAUCCGUGAAGACGCUUGAGUUAUUUGUGCGGAGCGUCGUCCUAAAUGACGGAAUCAAGGCCGUUUGUGCAGAAUGACGACAUUCGGAAGGAGCAACGCCAAUGUAACGGCGUCAUCUGGUGGCUCAUACGAGAUGGCGCCCGGCGGCACGAAGAUGAAGAAGUCGAGCAUUAGUGCGCCGAGUGCAAUAAGAAUUGUUCAUAUCUCUGGUGACUUUGCGGCAGGUCGUGCAGUGUGAAGUGUAACAAUGUGUGAUGUGUAGUUGUGCGACUUCUUGGUGCGUCUCACACAUUUCCUGCAGAGCUCGUGUGUGUCUUCUUUCUGCUGUUACAGUCACACUGAUAUCAAAGAGGAAGGAGAUGCAUCAGCUCCAAACUGCUCAUGUUUCUUUACUGACGUGUUUCUUUAAAUAUUUCUCACUGCAUGUAUCUAAAAAACCUUCUUUGAUCAAAUGGUACAUUUUCUAGAUUGUUUCUCGAUGAGCGUCGCCUCAUUUGUGUCACUGAAAUCUAUUUUAAAGAUGAGAGCAGAGGGAUUGCAUUACUCCUCUAUAUCUUAACUUAUCAUAUUGCAUAUUGUUGAUUCCUCAUUGAAUUAGUGUUUGAAAUAUUAAAUCUGGCACCUCGGUCGAACGAAUGUUUGAAUUUGAUUUGAACUGUGCUCAAUGACUAAAUGAAGGCAUGAAUCUCAGUGUUGUUGAAUGACAACCAGAAUGCCUGAUGUUGUGUUAAUGGUCUCGACCAUGGAAACACUGGUCAGCCGGGGUCUCGGUUACCAUGGAAACACUGUCAGUUGUAUGUCAGUGGGUUGCUGUCAUUGUCAAAACACGUACAUUUGAAAAUUAAAAAAUCAUAUUCAAGGUACAUAAUAAAGAAAUAACCAACCACUGGAAAUACGUUGAUGAAUCUGUGAAAUAAAUUGUUAAGUUGUAUCAAAUAAAAUUAAAGACAUUAAUUCUCCAGCUACAUGCUAAAGCUACAUGCUAAGGCUACAUGAUAAAUCUCCUAGCUCUCGAUUGGUGGAUCUCUAGCCGAUUUCCAAAAUAAAUGAGCAUAGAAUAAAAACAUGA